AAGAAAUUAUGGUUGAGUGACUUUUAUGAAAUAGCUCAUAAAAUUGAGUGAUCUCGAGUGAUAAUUACCCUCCAAAAUCCUUUGAUUAGUUAUACUCAAAUUUACAAGGGAAAGAAGAAGGAAUUGCAUUCCAUUUAGCAUGGACUGGAGAUUUGGCAGUAAGAGUUUUUCAUAUCUCUAAGGUAUUUAAGACCUAUAAAGUCCAGACUUGCUUUGAAAGAUCACCAAUUCUGAGAUAGGUAAGAAAGGACACUAAUAAUAGCGUUUCCUCAUUACUGCCAAUUACUGCCAAUAAUUAGCUCAGGUUUUUUGCAACUUAUGAUUUCUAGCAAUUCUUAUUAGGAGGGCAAACCACAUUCUGGAAAUGACUCUUGCUUUUGACAAUGAUCUAUUCUUGAAUGCAUAAGUGAAGGAAGGAGCAAUUGCAUAUGUUUUCAAAUCUGAGGAUUUGAAAAACUGAAGAUUUGUCAUAUUUGGGGCGUAUAAUCCUCCUAUUGGAAAAGAUACAAAAUUAAAGUAGUUGUUGAUUUCUAAGGAAGUGAGAGAUGUGAGUUCUCCAUGGCUCAACAUCAUAAUUUUACUUGGAGAAACAGAUUUUAGAUGGUUUGUUGUUGUGAAUUGAUUAUGGGGGAGCUUAGAAAUUUGGAUUGGGUUGUGUUAGAGAGAGAGAGCAAAGAGAAAGAGAG
rnacentral:misc_RNA from 1 species